rnacentral:rRNA from 1 species
UACAGAGGGUGCGAGCGUUAAUCGGAAUUACUGGGCGUAAAGCGCACGUAGGCGGUGUGUCAAGUCAGGCGUGAAAGCCCCGGGCUCAACCUGGGAACCGCGCUUGAGACUGGCACGCUCGAGUUCGGGAGAGGAUGGUGGAAUUCCCAGUGUAGAGGUGAAAUUCGUAGAUAUUCGCAAGAACACCAGUGGCGAAGGCGGCUCACUGGCCCGGUACUGACGCUGAGGUGCGAAAGCGUGGGGAGCAAACAGG